CGGAACGGGUAAGUAAUGCGUGACCAACCUGCCCCAUGCUCCAGAAUAGCUCUUGGAAACGGGUGGUAAUGCUGGAUGCUCCAACUUGACGCAUGUCUUGUUGGGAAAGUGUUUAGUGGCAUGGGAUGGGGUCGCGUCCUAUCAGCUUGUAGGCGGGGUAAUGGCCCACCUAGGCUUCGACGGGUAGCCGGCCUGAGAGGGCGGACGGCCACAUUGGGACUGAGAUACGGCCCAGACUCCUACGGGAGGCAGCAGCA
rnacentral:rRNA from 1 species